CUGAUAAAAUAGAUUCGUUUUAAUAAUAUUUUGAUAAACAAUAGAAUCGGAUUGAGGUAAUAUAUAUAUAUAUAUAUAUAUAUAUAUCAUAAUUUAAAAAGUCUAACAAUCUUGUUAGUGGUAAAAUUCACUUACGAAACACGAGUAGCAAUUAGAACAAAAUAAUUUUAUUGCCCUGACAUACAUUCGCAGCUAACAAAUAAAAGAGGAUAGUAUCGUUACUAAGAUAGAUCACAGCUUAGAAAUCACGCAGCUGCACGAGGACGUAAAUCUUUGAAGCAAAAAUACGUUCGCAUACCUCAUUAUGACUACGAGGAAUAGAAGGUUUUCACUGGAUUUGUAGCCUGACGGCACAGCAUCCUGAUCACUGUACUCGCUAUCGUCGCUAUCAAAAGAGUCAUCGGUACCUGAGUUUCCCCGUUGGAUCCUGUUAGAACUCCAUCAUGCUCGCAUCGAACGAUGAGUCCAACGUCUUCGCCAAUCUGGAACUGGCGGUAGCGGUACCCGACAGAAGCUAACUCGUGUGUGUCGCUGCCAUCUUCGGCAGCAAACGGCUAUCUGUGUGCAGAACAACGAUUAGAAGAGCUGCAGCGAGCAUCGAAGUCAGUUUAAAACAAUCGAUCGACAACCUUUAUGAAGUCAUUGUCUACAUGGACUAGAAACCCUCUUUCCACACUUACCUGCUGCGAGAAGUUGUGGU